AGUGAACGCUGGCGGCGUGCCUAAUACAUGCAAGUCGAACGGAGUGGCGCACGGGUGAGUAAUAUAUAGCUAAUCUGCCCCUUGCUGGAGGACAACAGUUAGAAAUGACUGCUAAUACUCCAUAGCAAGGGAUGAGACUAUAUCGUAUCAGCUAGUCGGUGGGGUAAAGGCCUACCGAGGCGAUGACGCGUAACUGGUCUGAGAGGAUGAGCAGUCACAUUGGAAGUGAGACACAGGCCGAACGCCUACGGGAGGCAGCAGUAGGGAAUAUUGCGCAAGGGGGGAAACCCUGACGCAGCAACGCCGCGUAGAGGAUGACACUUUUCGAAGCGUAAACUCCUUUUGUUAGGGAAGCGGUACCUAACGAAGAAGCACCGGCUAACUCCGUGCCAGCAGCCGCGGUAAUUC
rnacentral:rRNA from 1 species